rnacentral:rRNA from 1 species
AAAGCCCGACUUAGUUAUAAUCAAUCAGGGCCGGCAAAUCUCGUGCCAGCCGCCGCGGUUAUACGAGAGGCCCAAAACAACGACAAACGGCGUAAAUUGUGGCUAGAAUAACAGCUAGUAACUAAGAAAUAAACCACUACCUUACCGUAAAACACAGGUAAAAUGAAAUCUCUUACCCCAAGCAAUUUGAACCCACGAAAACUAAGAAACAAACUAGGAUUAGAUACCCUACUAUGCUUAGUCGUAAAUAAGACGCUCCCUAACACAAGCGUCCGCCAGAGGACUACAAGCGAAAAGCUUAAAACUCAAAAGACUUGGCGGUGUCCCAAACCCGACUUAGAGGAGCCUGUCCUAUAAUCGAUAAUCCACGAUAAACCCGACCACCCCUUGCCAACCAGCCUAUAUACCGCCGUCGCAAACCUACCUUACAAAAGAACAACAGUAGGUAUAACAGUAAAACCACUAAAACGUCAGGUC